rnacentral:lncRNA from 1 species
GCGGAAGCCGGAGUCCAGCACGAAAUGCCUCCUGGUACAAACAAAAGCGACCAGGAGGGGGAGCGCUGGCCCGGUCGGCGGGGCCAGGAAGCUCCAGGUCGUACUCCGAAGGAACCCCGUACCGAGCCCUUAUCAGGAGGAGUUCGUCCGGAGUCGACGAGCAUGGAAUGGCGCCCGGUGCGAAAACCGGGCGAGGCCCUGCCCCGGACGCGGGUUCGUCCGCAAAGACAGGGGCCUGGGGGUUCGAAGCAAAAGAACUCCCAGAGCUGACGGGGGCAGAAGAGUCGGAAGAUAUUUUUCGGGGGGAGAACCUAAAGGAUCCUAGAAAGGCAAACCGAGAAGGGAACGAGACGCCGAAGGUCAACUCAGAAGAAGACACAAAAGAAAUGAAAAGAAGAGAAGCCCCUAGGCGGUAAGAAGAAGGUGGGCACUAACCUAUCUUGCUCUGAGGACCUGGGGAGCGAGAAAUGGGAGGCGCCUACGGCUCGAGAGGGCGUUCACUAGAGCAGGCUCUCGGAGAGAAGACAGACGCCAACAAGAAAUCAGAAAUGGAGUAGGACGCCUGAAGGGGGGAGAACGGGUUUAAAUAGACCCUGGGAUCCGGCGCCAUAAUGAUCGCGAAUCCCCACAGGCCAGUCCGCAUCCGACGCGUGUCCCACUCCCCGUUGCAGACGGCUAAGGACGGCUGGCGGUUGGCAGGGUCAUAAUUGCGCCGUACCUAGGCCAACGUACCUGUGGGGUUUUCGAAGCGUCCCCUCGUACCGCCCCAAUUCGAAAAGACUCCGGCACGCGCUCAUUUAAUGCCAAAAUAUCUGGGAGCGGCAGGGCACGGGAUUCGAAGGG